GUAGGGAAUAUUGGGCAAUGGGCGAGAGCCUGACCCAGCCAUGCCGCGUGCAGGAAGAAGGCUUUCUGAGUCGUAAACUGCUUUUGACAGGGAAGAAUAAGCGGAACGUGUUCCGUGAUGACGGUACCUGCAGAAUAAGCACCGGCUAACUCCGUGCCAGCAGCCGCGGUAAUACGGAGGGUGCGAGCGUUGUCCGGAUUUAUUGGGUUUAAAGGGUGCGUAGGCGGCUCUCUAAGUCCGAGGUGAAAGCCCGUUGCUUAACAACGGAACUGCCUUGGAUACUGGGGAGCUUGAGUACAGACGAGGUUGGCGGAAUGGACCGAGUAGCGGUGAAAUGCAUAGAUACGGUCCAGAACCCCGAUUGCGAAGGCAGCUGACUAGGCUGUUACUGACGCUGAGGCACGACAGCGUGGGGAGCGAACAGG
rnacentral:rRNA from 1 species